GGAUUAGCAUGGCCCCUGUGCAAGGAUGACACCCAAAUUCAUGAAGUGUUCCAUAUUUUU
ensembl:snRNA U6 U6 spliceosomal RNA